rnacentral:rRNA from 1 species
ACUACGGGUGGCUGCAGUGGGGAAUAUUGCGCAAUGGGCGAAAGCCUGACGCAGCGACGCCGCGUGAGGGAUGAAGGUCUUCGGAUCGUAAACCUCUGUCAGCAGGGAAGAACGGUCACUGUGCUAAUCAGCAGUGAAUUGACGGUACCUGCAAAGGAAGCACCGGCUAACGCCGUGCCAGCAGCCGCGGUAAUACGGAGGGUGCGAGCGUUCAGCGGAAUUACUGGGCGUAAAGCGCUCGUAGGCGGUAUGUAACGUCAAGGGUGAGAUCCCCGCGCUCAACGUGGGAACUGCCUUUGAAACUGGCAAACUGGAGUGUGUGAGAGGCUAGUGGAAUUCCAGGUGUAGGCG